rnacentral:rRNA from 18 species
AGAGUGAGACUGCGAAUGGCUCAUUACAACAGUGAUAGUUUAUUUGAAGGUGGUUUAGAUGGAUAACUGUGGUAAUUCUAGAGCUAAUACAUGCUUGUCGUCUAUUAGUUGUUGGAAGUAGAGUAGAGAGUGGACUAUGUCGGGAGACGUAGUAGUUCAUGGAAGUUUCUGGCCUAUCAGCUGGACGGUAGUGUAUUGGACUACCGAGGCAGUGACGGGUGACGGGGAAUUAGGGUUCGAUUCCGGAGAGAGAGCCUGAGAAACGGCUACCACAUCUAAGGAAGGCAGCAGGCGCGCAAAUUACCCAAUCCUGACUAAGGGAGGUAGUGACAAGAAAUAACGACACUGAGCUUGCUCAGUGAUUGGAAUGAGCACAAUGUAAAAGCGUUGUCGAGGACCCACUGGAGGGCAAGUCUGGUGCCAGAAGCCGCGGUAAUUCCAGCUCCAAUAGCGUAUAUUAAAGUUGUUGCAGUUAAAAAGCUCGUAGUUGGACUUUAGCCAGUAGAACACACUGAGGCAUUGAGUUGUCAAGUGUGGGAGUUGGCGUUUUACCUUGAGGAAACUAGAGUGUUCAAGGCAGGCUAGGCUUGAAUACCGUAGCUGGGGAUAAUCUGGUUAAUAGGGACAGUUGGGGGCAUUGGUACUCAGCAGUCAGAGGUGAAAUUCUUGGAUUUGUUAAAGACG